ACACCGAUAUGCUUUGGGGAGCUGUACGUAAGCGUUGAUCCAGAGAUUUCCGAAUGGGGGAACCCACUAUCUUUAGUCGGAUAGUAUCCUUACGUGAAUACAUAGCGUGAGGAAGGCAGACCCAGGGAACUGAAACAUCUAAGUACCUGGAGGAAGAGAAAGAAAAAUCGAUUUCCUGAGUAGCGGCGAGCGAAACGGAAAGAGCCCAAACCAAGAAGCUUGCUUCUUGGGGUUGUAGGACACUCUAUACGGAGUUACAAAAGAAAGUUAUAAAUGAAGCGGUCUGGAAAGGCCCGCCAAAGACGGUAACAGCCCGGUAGUUGAAAUGGCUUUCCCUCCAGAGUGGAUCCUGAGUACGGCGGAACACGUGAAAUUCCGUCGGAAUCCGGGAGGACCAUCUCCCAAGGCUAAAUACUCCCUAGUGACCGAUAGUGAACCAGUACCGUGAGGGAAAGGUGAAAAGCACCCCGGAAGGGGAGUGAAACAGUUCCUGAAACCGUGUGCCUACAAGUAGUUAGAGCCCGUUAAUGGGUGAUAGCGUGCCUUUUGUAGAAUGAACCGGCGAGUUACGAUUUGUUGCAAGGUUAAGCGGAAAAAGCGGAGCCGUAGCGAAAGCGAGUCUGAAUAGGGCGCAUAAGUAACAGGUCGUAGACCCGAAACCAGGUGAUCUACCCAUGUCCAGGAUGAAGGUAAGGUAAUACUUACUGGAGGUCCGAACCCACGCACGUUGAAAAGUGCGGGGAUGAGGUGUGGGUAGCGGAGAAAUUCCAAUCGAACUUGGAGAUAGCUGGUUCUCUCCGAAAUAGCUUUAGGGCUAGCCUCGAGGUAAAGAGUCAUGGAGGUAGAGCACUGUUUGGACUAGGGGCCCUUCUCGGGUUACCGAAUUCAGAUAAACUCCGAAUGCCAUGUACUUAUACUCGGGAGUCAGACUGCGAGUGAUAAGAUCCGUAGUCGAAAGGGAAACAGCCCAGACCACCAGUUAAGGUCCCCAAAUAUAUGUUAAGUGGAAAAGGAUGUGGGGUUGCUUAGACAACCAGGAUGUUGGCUUAGAAGCAGCCACCAUUGAAAGAGUGCGUAAUAGCUCACUGGUCGAGUGACCCCGCGCCGAAAAUGUACCGGGGCUAAACAUAUUACC
rnacentral:rRNA from 1 species